UACGAAGGGGGCUAGCGUUGCUCGGAAUUACUGGGCGUAAAGCGCACGUAGGCGGCGAUCUAAGUCAGAGGUGAAAGCCCGGGGCUCAACCCCGGAAUGGCCUUUGAGACUGGAUUGCUAGAAUCUUGGAGAGGCGAGUGGAAUUCCGAGUGUAGAGGUGAAAUUCGUAGAUAUUCGGAAGAACACCAGUGGCGAAGGCGGCUCGCUGGACAAGUAUUGACGCUGAGGUGCGAAAGCGUGGGGAGCAAACAGG
rnacentral:rRNA from 1 species